GAGGAAACUCCUGCCCCAGCACCCACGGAGCCCACUCCGGUGGUGCCCGCCCCUUGUCGGCCAGAGGGGGCGGGGCCGCGGGCGAUGGGGCGGAGCGGGCUGUGUUCUGGUCCGCUCCCGUGACGCGCUGCCCGCCAGGCUGCGGGGGUCGCGGGGCGUCCGCGUGGGCCAGCGGAGGCCCACAGCUGCGGAGGGAAACCACUGGGAGGGGAGAAGGAGCUCUAGGGAGAGCGAGGCUGCAACGAGGGGAGAGCCGGGCGACGGGCAGGGGCCCAGGCGCGCUCCCCGACUUCCCACAGGCGCGCGCAUGCCUGCGUGUCAGGGCGCGCGCUCCCCCUCUCGGACCGAGGCGACCCCAGUCCGUGAGCGGCUUGGAUCCUCGCCCGUUCCCUCCUGGUCGUUUCCGCAGUAACCUCUUAUCAGAGCGGGCAGCUGUGAGUGGCGCUCACAUCCGCCGCUGCCCUGUCGAAUGGGGGAAAGAGUUCUUGUGUUCUGAGGAGGGUUUGGCUAUGGUCCUUGACCCUAUUCUUGUCUCAGACUUGCCUCCCAGGAAUAUAGGAGGAUUGUAUGCCCUGGCCUCCCUGUGAUGGGGUUGAACUACAUGACAUGUUCUCCGAAUUAAGUGUGAGCAUAGCAUUUAAUUGUUGAUGCAAGACCUUCCAGAACUCUUUUUCUCUUUGCCAUGGCAAUCAUCAGUGUUCCAGAGAGCAUAUGCACGAUCAGCCUUGGUAUUGGAGGGAAGAUGAUGCGGAACAGAGUCCCAGUCACAUCAUGAAGGACAUGUAAAAUGCUGUAGAAGAACCUCUUCUGCAAGACCAUUCAUUCAUGCCUUGAGACAGUAUGAAUCAAGCUGACUUUUUUUUUUUCCAAGGAGUUUUUAAACUAUAUAUGUGACACCCCGAUGAAUAAGAAGAGCAGCCAGCUGAGAAGGGGAACUCUACAAAGCUAUUUUUUCAACAGCUGUGACUGACCCACUCACCUCACAGGACUCCAGUGGGCACUAAUGGAAAUGGAGAGAAAGACAAACAAGAUGACCCUGUUAGCUCCCUGUGUACUGCAGAUGUGGUGUAGGCUGUGCUCCGAACUUAGAGAGAAGAAGGAAGAGAGGACAACCCCUCUAUCCCCAAAUUCUCUUCCAACCCUGUUCUGCCAGCCAUCUGAUUGGAAGCAAGAGGGAAGGGAGGCCUGUGGUGACCUCUCUCUUGACAACAGGGGAAAACCUGACCCUAGAAAAAUCAGCUCAAUCAAUAUCAUGUGAUCUUAUCAAAGCAAGCAACCCUACUCCCUAAACUGGUGGAAACGGAACAGCUAUGCAGAGGAGGAAUGACAAGUAGAAGAGGGGAAAAGGGAAAAUAUAAACAAAAAAAACAGUACAUUUCACACAAAAGCAGAGGAACAGAAAGUGAAAUCUGAGACAGACCAUCAAGCUUCAGACCAUCAUGCAGCAAGGGCUCUAGCCAGUUCCAGGUGAAGACCCCACCCCGGGCCAUCAAGGAGCUUCCCUGCCUCCACUAGACAGAGCAGAGUGAGAGUUCCAUGAUCCCCAAUAGGUAGGGGCUAUGCCUCAAGCCAGCAUGAAGCAGUUACAGAAAAAAAGACCAUCAGUUCCUCUGCCUCCCAUGGGGAUCACAUCUUUCAGCAGGGAGAUGAGGCAUAAAAACAAGGUCUGGAGGCAGGGAAUUCAAGGCCGAUUCACACUUCAGCUAUGACAGGAAAUAUCCUCUCCAUAGGGUAUAGGCCAAGUAAAUGACUUUGUAACUUUACUCCUCAUUUUCAUAGGUUGCACCCCAAGUAAGCAAUGGAAUCCUCUAGAGGGUAUUUCCCCAAAAUUCUGUAAUGGGGUCCUUGAGCCCCUAUGCUCGGGCCCACUCC
rnacentral:lncRNA from 1 species